rnacentral:rRNA from 1 species
UCGCAAGAGGACUGGGAGACAGGUGUUGCAUGGCUGUCGUCAGCUCGUGUCGUGAGAUGUUGGGUUAAGUCCCGCAACGAGCGCAACCCUCACUCGAUGUUGCCAGCGUAAAGUCGGGAACUCUUCGAGAACUGCCCGUGUAAGCGGGAGGAAGGUGGGGAUGACGUCAAGUCAGCAUGGCCCUUACAUCCUGGGCUUGACACAUGCUACAAUGGCCGUUAAACAAAGGGAAGCAAUACCGCGAGGUGGAGCCAAUCUCAUAAAUACGGUCUCAGUUCGGAUUGCAGGCUGCAACUCGCCUGCAUGAAGUCGGAAUCGCUAGUAACCGCCGGUCAGCUAAACGGCGGUGAAUACGUUCCCGGGUCUUGUACACACCGCCCGUCAAGUCACCUGAGUUGUCUGCACCCGAAGCCGGUGGCCUAACCGCAAGGAGGGAGCCGUCUAAGGUGUGGGGAGCGAGGGGGACUAAGUCGUAACAAGGUAGCCGUAUCGGAAGGUGCGGCU